rnacentral:ribozyme from 13 species
AGGCGUGGAAAGAAGAGCAAGACCAUCUUCUACAAGUUUUGCUAUCUCUUUUUCUACUGUUUCUCCUUCUUCAUUCCCUUCUUUCUGUUUUUUUUUUAACAA